rnacentral:rRNA from 1 species
CCUACGGGAGGCAGCAGUGGGGAAUAUUGCACGAUGGGCGCAAGCCUGAUGCAGCAACGCCGCGUGAGGGACGACGGCCUUCGGGUUGUAAACCUCUUUUAGUAGGGAAGAAGCGAAAGUGACGGUACCUGCAGAAAAAGCACCGGCUAACUACGUGCCAGCAGCCGCGGUAAUACGUAGGGUGCAAGCGUUAUCCGGAAUUAUUGGGCGUAAAGAGCUCGUAGGCGGUUUGUCGCGUCUGCUGUGAAAACCUGGAGGCUCAACCUCCAGCCUGCAGUGGGUACGGGCAAACUAGAGUGCGGUAGGGGAGAUUGGAAUUCCUGGUGUAGCGGUGGAAUGCGCAGAUAUCAGGAGGAACACCGAUGGCGAAGGCAGAUCUCUGGGCCGUAACUGACGCUGAGGAGCGAAAGCAUGGGGAGCGAACAGGAUUAGAUACCCUGGUAGUCCAUGCCGUAAACGUUGGGCGCUAGAUGUGGGGACCCAUUCCACGGUUUCCGUGUCGCNGCUACGCAUAGCGCCCGCCGUCGGGNGGUACGGCCGCCGACGACGUAACCGUAACGAAACGAAGUAGUACGGCGUGAGACGUCGCCGACGGACGACGACGACGGGAGGUUAGG